rnacentral:rRNA from 1 species
CCUACGGGUGACAGCAGUGAGGAAUAUUGGUCAAUGGACGGAAGUCUGAACCAGCCAUGCCGCGUGCAGGAUGACGGCUCUAUGAGUUGUAAACUGCUUUUGUACGAGAAUAAUAGUUCUUACGUGUAGGGGUUUGAAUGUAUCGUACGAAUAAGGCUCGGCUAACUCCGUGCCAGCAGCCGCGGUACUACGGAGGGUUCGAGCGUUAUCCGGAUUUAUUGGGUUUAAAGGGUGCGUAGGCUGUCGGAUAAGUUAGAGGUGAAAUGUUGGGGCUUAACCCCGGGCCUGCCUCUGAUACUGGUCGACUAGAGAGCGGAUGAAGCAGGCGGAAUGAGUGGUGUAGCGGUGAAAUGCUUAGAUAUUACGCAGAACACCGAUUGCGAAGGCAGCUUGCUAAUCCGCAACUGACGCUGAGGCACGAAAGCGUGGGUAGCGAACAGGAUUAGAUACCCGGGUAGUC